UGCAAGUCGAGCGAAUGGAUUAAGAGCUUGCUCUUAUGAAGUUAGCGGCGGACGGGUGAGUAACACGUGGGUAACCUGCCCAUAAGACUGGGAUAACUCCGGGAAACCGGGGCUAAUACCGGAUAAUAUUUUGAACUGCAUGGUUCGAAAUUGAAAGGCGGCUUCGGCUGUCACUUAUGGAUGGACCCGCGUCGCAUUAGCUAGUUGGUGAGGUAACGGCUCACCAAGGCAACGAUGCGUAGCCGACCUGAGAGGGUGAUCGGCCACACUGGGACUGAGACACGGCCCAGACUCCUACGGGAGGCAGCAGUAGGGAAUCUUCCGCAAUGGACGAAAGUCUGACGGAGCAACGCCGCGUGAGUGAUGAAGGCUUUCGGGUCGUAAAACUCUGUUGUUAGGGAAGAACAAGUGCUAGUUGAAUAAGCUGGCACCUUGACGGUACCUAACCAGAAAGCCACGGCUAACUACGUGCCAG
rnacentral:rRNA from 1 species